rfam:Streptomyces griseoruber strain DSM 40281 genomic scaffold PRJNA299232_s035, whole genome shotgun sequence.
CUUCAACGAGCCCAGCCACAACGGCCGUUCCGGAUCCCGGCCCCGUCCGUACGUGGCGAGGAGCGCCUGCGCCUC